GCCCUCGUAGAGAAAUGGUAACUCGUCAGAUUCCUAAUCUGGAAAUUGCGGUAAGCCACAGCCAAUCAGAUGCAUCCAUUCUCGGUGUACUAACAACAUCCAGGGUUCGAGUCCCGUCGGGGGUG